rnacentral:lncRNA from 1 species
CAAAACUUGCUUUCAGAUUCUCUAGAUAGCUGAACUGCUAAGUUUGGGUGGGGCAGCUUGCUGGACUCUGCAGUCAUGCUGAGCUGCUAGAUAGGCACUGCAAUCACUGCAUAUCAGGUUGGGCCACAGGGUGUAUUUCCUGGCCAGAUGGUACCACUAUUUGAGUUCAGCGAUUGGAUAGGGUUGCAGGAGGGAUUCCACGCUAGAUUAUAGAAAGAGCACAUUUCAAACUUCAAAUAACAUGAAUGAAAGCCAGAGAUGACUACUACUCCUUGUGAAGAUUUUUGGAAUACCCUUUUAACUAUCUUCUUACUUCCAUUCCUUGUCCUUCUGCAGUUUAUUCUCCACCCAGCAGCCAAAAAGAUCCUUUUAAUCACGAAUAUGAUUAUGUAAUUUCUCUGCUGAAAGGCUCUGAAUGCUUCCCUGUCUCCCAUGAAGAAAAAACUUAACUAUACUAUUGGUGGAAAUAGUGCAGCCAUUAUGGAAAACAAUAUGGAGGUUCUUCAAUGAAAUAGAACUACCAGGUGAUACAGCAAUUCUACUUCUGGGUAUUUAUCCAAAAGAACUGAAAUUAGGAUCUUGAAAAGAUAUUAGCACUCCCAUGUUCAUUGUGGAACCAUUCACAAUAGCCAUGAUGUGGAAAUGGCUUAAAUGUACAUCAAUAGAUGAAUGGAUUUUUAAAAAUGUGGUAUAGAUGUACAACAAAAUAUUACUCAGACUUCAAAAGGAGGAAAUUCUGUGAUAUGAGCCAACAUGGAUGGACCUUGAAGACAUUAUGCUAGGUGAAAUAAGCCAGUUACAGAAGGCCAAAUACCAUAUGUUUCCAUUUAUGUGAGAUAUUUAAAAUAGUCAAUUGAUAGAAGCAGAGUGGGGGCUGAGGGGAGGGGGGAAACAGGAAAUUGUUAAUAAGUGGGUAUAUAAUUUCAGUUACGCAAGGUAAAUAAGUUCUAAGGAUUUUCUAUAAAAUAUUGUGCUGAUAGUUAACUAUACUGUAUUAUACACUUAAAAAUCUGUUUAAGGAGGUAGACUGCAUGUUAAGCGUUCUUGCCACAAUAAAAUUUUUAAAUUACUUUAUUUAUUUAUAAUAAAAUCUUUGUGAUUGCCUCUAAGGCUAUUGCUACACACAGUCACGCUCUUAUCUCAGGGCCUUGGCAAGCCAUUUUCUCUCUGCCUAGAUGUUCUACCCCAAUAUUCUGGUGGUUUCCUAUUUCCUCACCUUCAGAUUUUGCUCAAAUACUAUUAUCCCAAUGAAGCCUACUUUCAGUAUCCAUUUAUGAUUGUAACUCAGCCUCUUAUAAUCCUUAUGCCCUGGCAUUCCUCAUAUCUCAGCAAAACACAAUUUUUGAUUGUUUUUUUCAUAUAACAUCAUCAUAAUCCAUAUCACCUCUAAUAUACUAUAUAGUUUUAUUUAUUUCAUGUUUUUUACUGUCUACCUUCUUCUGUGGGUCUAGGUCAAAGCAAGAAACUUUAAGGUCAUGAUGGAGUAGGGUAAAUAUUAGAAGUAACAGCUAGUCUUGCUCCAUGACAUAUUUUCUGAACAAGAAUGCAGAAUGGCAUAGAUUUGCUUAACAAAAGUUUAUAAUCACUUCCAAAAUAGUGAACAUUCAUGUUCUUAGAAAAAGGUACCUAUAGCAUCCCUGAUUAUAUGAUUCUUAAAGGCUGGAGCAUGCCUUACCUUUUUCUGUAUUCAGAGUCUAUUUGAACAUACUAGUACUAUUAAAUUAAUAUAUAAAAUGGACAAAUAAAUGUUCGACAGGUCCUUAAAAGCUAGAGAAACACUUAUUAUAUUUCCAUCCUUAAAGUCUAUGCUCUGUGAGAGUACUCAUAAUGUAUACACACACGUUACAUAGUAAUGUAGAUGGAAAAGAUACACACAUACGGAC